rnacentral:rRNA from 1 species
CGCCGCGUGAGUGAUNGACGGUCUUCGGAUNUGUAAGGCUCUGUCUUUGGGNACGAUAAUGACNGUACCCAAGGAGGAAGCCACGGCUAACUACGUGCCAGCAGCCGCGGUAAUACGUAGGUGGCGAGCGUUGUCCGGAUUUACUGGGCGUAAAGGGAGCGUAGGCGGAUUUUUAAGUGGGAUGUGAAAUACCCGGGCUCAACCUGGGUGCUGCAUUCCAAACUGGGAAUCUAGAGUGCAGGAGGGGAGAGUGGAAUUCCUAGUGUAGCGGUGAAAUGCGUAGAGAUUAGGAAGAACACCAGUGGCGAAGGCGACUCUCUGGACUGUAACUGACGCUGAGGCUCGAAAGCGUGGGGAGCGAACAGGAUUAGAUACCCUGGUAGUC